AAUGUCUGCAAUACAGAAGCUCACACAAUCACUGAGCAAACUAACAAAUAUAUUUAUCCUUCCAAAAGGUCUACAGUGGAGAAGUUUAUACGGAGCAAUCUAUUUUCCUCAUGAACUGAAGCCUAAAACCAGGAAUGAUGAUGUUGGAGCUCGAGUUAGUCAAAGGCAAAGUGAUUGAUGAAAAUAAUAUUAUUGAGGGAUUACGGAAUCAGAACCAAGAGUUUAUGUAUCAUGGAUAAUGUUCUAUCGAGAGAUAGAUUAAUUUUAUUUCUGGAAGUUGUAUCAUUUUAAAGGAAUGUUUCUGAUUAAGGAGUAUGUUUAUUUGUGGGCCCA